UACGUAGGGUGCAAGCGUUGUCCGGAAUUAUUGGGCGUAAAGAGCGUGUAGGCGGCCGUACAGGUCAGCUGUGAAAACUCGAGGCUCAACCUCGAGACGUCGGUUGAAACCGUACGGCUAGAGUCCGGAAGAGGAGAGUGGAAUUCCUGGUGUAGCGGUGAAAUGCGCAGAUAUCAGGAAGAACACCAAUGGCGAAAGCAGCUUUCUGGGACGGUACUGACGCUGAGACGCGAAAGCGUGGGGAGCGAACAGG
rnacentral:rRNA from 1 species